rnacentral:lncRNA from 1 species
CUCUCCUCACCUUCAAAUUUUAGUUUUUUUUGUUGUCGUUACUUUUCCAUUAUUUUAGAGGGGAGAAGAGAGAAAGGAAUGUGAGUGAGAGAGAGACAUUGUUAUAUGACACACAUUUAUAUGAAACCUCGUCCAUGGACUCUUGUCCUCAAUUAUAUUAAAUAACGAAAUGAUAAACACAGGUAUCGUGUUAAAUCUAAUGUUCGAAAAAACUGACAAUUGUCCGUCUUAAAGUGAAAAGAUGACAGAUAAACAAUAUUGUAUAAAAGGUUCUGUGAGAACUUUCUCGAGGUUCUUCGAGGUCGGACUACAGAAAGAGGGAAAGGAAAUUGGAUUAAGUGGUCGGACAGAAACUGUUGGAAUCUGUAUCAACAUCAAAAAGGAAAGUCGAGUGAAAUUCCAAAAACAACAGAAGAUCGAAACUGGACUUGAUAGACUUUGGUCGCAAGCAACUAACUUCGAGAGAU